rnacentral:rRNA from 1 species
AGAGUUUGAUCCUGGCUCAGGAUGAACGCUAGCGGGAGGCCUAAUACAUGCAAGUCGAACGGCAGCAGGCGUAGCAAUACGUGCUGGCGAGUGGCGCACGGGUGCGUAACACGUACACAACCUGCCUUAUACUGGGGCAUAGCCUCGAGAAAUUGAGAUUAAUUCCCCAUAACAUUGCGAAACGGCAUCGUUUUGCAACU